ACUCAUUCCUUUUUUAAAAUAAGAAAAUAGGAGCUGAGUUUGAAGCUCAGCUUGAUUGUGUAAUUUAUCCUGUUAAUCACAACUUAAAAAAAAAAAUCACAACCCUAUGAUGUCACAGACUUUGGAAGAUGAUAAUUAAAAAUACUUAUAUUUUGAUAAACCUCCACAUAUUUGGGAGAAAGACACAUUCCUGAGGUCACAUUUAUUCUUUUUGUGUUUUUAAGGUCAAGCCAUGAGAAUUCUCAAGUUUAGUUCUCCAGGCUAAUAAGUGUAAGUGUUGGGAAAUUGCAGGAACAGGAGGGAAAAGAUGAAAAGGACACUGGUUUGUGGAAAAUUCUGUGGUAUAAAUCUACAAAGAAUGACCUCUAGAAAUAUGGGAUGCCAGUGCUUAGGAGAUGGGGCACUGUGUUCCUCAGCAGAAACCAUUUGAUAGAUCACUGGGAUGCCAUGGGGCACAGAUCAAAGUUCAAAGAGAAAAGGCCAGUUAGAGGAGUAUCACUAAAUGGAAGAAAUCAACUUUGGCAUUGACUUGAUGACAGGCAAUACCAAGACGAAUACUGCAGAGAGCAGUGAAAAGGCCAGUGAGGAUCUCAGAGUGAAGAAGCAAUCCCCAACUGAUAAAGAUUCAAAUGCCAUAAUCUCCUAUUGGAAUAUUUUUCCAAUUGUAAUUUAUGAUCAUGUGGUUUAGAUUAUAAAUGUUCUCCCUCAUUUGAAAAUGUGUUCCAUAAUCAAUUCACCUUUCCCCAGUUAUCUGUAAUCAUUUUAACUCUUUUCUAAAGAUAGCACCUUAUGUCUUACAAGUGUGAUAAAUUAGAAACUAUAAGCCAGUAGCUAAGAUGUUGGCUCAAAUCAUAAGCAGAGUGAAUUGUGACAUAACUUAUGCCACGGCAGUGACUAAAGUAUGUUUUAAAAUUUGUGUGGUUUAUAAUGUAAGGAAUGGACUAUGCUAUUCUAACUGGUCUUUUUAUCUUUUGGUAUUUUGAGGGGAAAUGGACCUAUACAAGAUCUCACAGCUGGGGCUCUGGAAUGUUGAGAAUACUGAAGGAGGAAGAUAAGUACAGAAGGAGAAAGCAGUCAUGGAUGGGUAAGACUACAUCUGUCAGAAAGGACUGCUGAACAUUGAGUAGCUCAGCCCCUGGUUUUGACUUCGAUACAGUUCGGAAACGUUUGUGCAUGCUGAAUCUCUUUAAGGAUGAUAAAACUGAUUGAUGAUGGUCAAAGGCUAGAACAAGUCACCAUACUCCAGGGAGGAAAGAUGGGCUGACAUGAGGGACUCCACUUCAGAUAAUUGGGGUGAGUAACUACACCAGGGUCCUUUAAAAUUCAUAUGUCAUGUGCUCUGUGUCACACCCUGAAAUCUCUGCAUUCAUCUAUUCCAUGACUUACUGGAUAAUAUUUUCAUGAUGUGUCCUUUUCUUUGGUGAUUGCCUUUACCCUCAUUUCCAAAUUUUAAACUUAAUUUUAUCUGAGUUUUAG